UUUCCGUAGGUGAACCUGCGGAAGGAUCAUUACUGAGUGAGGGCCCCUCGGGGUCCAACCUCCCACCCGUGUUUAACGAACCUUGUUGCUUCGGCGGGGCCGCCUCACGGCCGCCGGGGGGCAUCUGCCCCCGGGCCCGCGCCCGCCGAAGCCACCUGUGAACGCUGUCUGAAGUAUGCAGUCUGAGACAAUUAUUAAAUUAAUUAAAACUUUCAACAACGGAUCUCUUGGUUCCG
rnacentral:misc_RNA from 1 species